CCUUGCUUGUGGGCCGUCGGAUCACUCUUACAGCAAAUCUUGACAGUGCAAAUUUUUCGCUCUAUCAUAUAAAAGGAAGAAGCCCAGCCCUAGAAAACCCUAGCCGCCAAUCGACUGUGGCGCCUCUCCUCCCCAAUCCCCUUUCUGCCCAACCUCCAGCCCCUCCCUGGCCCAAUCCCUCGUCGCCGUCGCCGUCGCAGGGCUGCCCGGCGGAAGCAGCGCCGCCUCGUCAUCUCAUCCCCUCCCGUGCUCCUCCCCAAUCCCUGCCCUCCACUCCAUCUCAGGUGAGCCGCCGUCGGCCGCGUCCGCUCGACAUGGGGAGCAGGCAUGGAAGAUGCAGACCGAUGAGGGUGUUCUGCCUCCAGCUCAGCUCCGGUUUGGCCGGAAGGACAACGGCCAGCAGCGCAAGGACCUGACCUCCUCCGCGUUAGCACACUGGCCGGCCCUCUUCUUCUUUUUCUAAAGAUCUACACGAUCCGUUUUUACUUGUGCCUGUAAAGUGUUUGAUGAAAAUCCUAGCCAAGAUUAAUGUAUGCAAUAUCUAUGCUCCAUCUAGCUGUUUGCAGUUUUGCAAUUAAGGUCUUAAAAAGUGCUCAACUACCAAUAUUGGAAAGGGAGGAGGAUACGGGCUGGGCAAGGAUUUGGGGUAGCUAACUGUCAGUGCAGUUACACAUAAGAAACCUGCAGAAGUUGCUACUCGAUGGAGUGAAAUUGGCAGGGCAGGGAUUUGGGGGAGCAAACUCCUUUUUUAUCCCGCAGAUAAAUGUAUAAGGCGGUAAGAUGUUGGUGGCUUGCUGGAUAAGAGGCGGGAGCGACAAGCUUUGCGUUUCUGCUCAUCUGUGCAAAGUGCAUAUUAGGCAGCGAGACGUUGGUGAUGAAGACGGCGGUGGAGGAGUUGGGCCGGUCGUCGUCGUCUCCCAAGCCACUACUCCCUACUCCAUCAUUUGCUCGACCCUCACACUUUAAUAUCAUGCCCGGCCACGAGGAGGUCAUACCACAAGAUUUUUGCUACGCCCGUGCCUUGCUCAACCGUGUAGAGGUUGCGCCUCCGCUGCUUUUUCGGCAACUCACUUGUGUGGACAUAAAAAUGCAGAAAGUAUGCAUAGGGACGAAGGUCAAGUAAAUAGCACAGUGGAACUUAACUGGAGUUUUGAUAAAUAGCACGAUAAGCCAUGGACAUGCUACCGCGUUCCCUUUAUUAUUUUGAUGGACUUAGAUUGGUGAUGAAACUGAGAGAGUUGUAAUUCUGUGUGUGAAUAGCUGGGUGGACUUGCCUGCGGAUCUAUCCAAAGUUCAUGGACUCAAGCGCUACUUGCCGCAAUAGGUUGAGAGAAAUUGCAUACUGUUCGCAUGUCCUCUGUUACAGUCAAGAGAACAUACAAAAUUCGGUCGAUGUUUGAUUUGGUCGAUGUCGAUGUUCAUCAUUUCAGGGCCAUAUGUACUCUCAAGUUUCAACUCCUACUUCUUCAUCAUCAUAGAUGGCUCAUUGUUUAAAAAAUAAGAAUAUACAGCUACAAUUAAGUUGAGAGAAUGCCAACCUGUUUCAGGAAUAGCUUUUUCUCCUGAACUCAACUUCCGGGUGGGGGUGGAGGAAUUCAGUAGCCUUUAUUUGGGAAGUUGGGGCACAAUCUAUAACGGAUAUUAGUUUUAUAUCUUUUGCAGUCAUUUGCGAAGUUGGCGAACAAGUUGUUGUCCUUUUUACAAAGGAAGAGAUGCAACACUCCACUACUACCUACUAUAUCCAGGAUGAGCAACCUCUAGAGAUACCGUGUGACAAGACCAGGUUUCCCCUGACAUAUGUGUUGCUACAAGAUCUUCUUCAAUUAUCAAACAACCUGGUCUUAGGUACUUACGCAGCCAACCCAUCAUUCGGAAGAAUUU